CUAAUGUUACCUAUUUAAAAAGUUAUGUUUAAAAUUUAAAAAAUUUUAUUUAAAAACCUGUGUGGGUCUCCUUUUGUUAGGUAAAAUAUCACUUUGGUGAUGUGGUAGCCGUACAGCUGUCAGUCCGUUCCUGCUUUCAAACUGUUCCAGGCCAAGAGCAGAGGGCAGGGUGAGUGUUUCAAAGUGGAGUGCAGAGGGAAAGGUAUUCACCAGGAAGCCGAAUUAGGAGGUGAAUGUUAGAUAACAUCCAGCUUUUCUGAUCCUCAGGAACUCUUCAAACUUCCAAUAUUCAUGCUGAGGGAACAAUGUUCACGGGCAUGGAGUCACAAAGAGACAUGGACCUGAAGGAAACUGUCACUUGCUUCAGUGGACUAGAGCAUGCGAUGGUCGGGAAAUCAUAGAGAGGCACUCACUCAUGGUUUACUAGGUUGAACUGUAUUUGUAAUGAAAUCAAGAGAAUGCAUAUCACUCAAACUCAAGGAGAAACUAAAUAAGAAUUUCAAAAUAUUAAAACUCAUCGGUCAUGGUCGUGGUCAUGAGUGCUUUGUAACCAGCUUUCUCCUGACCCUGAGAACACUGGCUAAUGACUCUGGAGGAGUAAUUUUUCUUUAGAUUUAUAAGACCAAGAACAUCAGAUGACCUGCAGAUGACAGCAGCACCAGAAAAGCUGACUGGCCAAAAUUUACAACUACCCUGAUGCUCUCUGCCUGUGGAAUCUGCCUCCCUCAAAUCCCUGUAUGAGCCUGGAGACCACAACCCCAAG
rnacentral:lncRNA from 1 species